GACGAACGCUGGCGGCGUGCUUAACACAUGCAAGUCGAACGGAAAGGCCCUGCUUUUGUGGGGUGCUCGAGUGGCGAACGGGUGAGUAACACGUGAGUAACCUGCCCUUGACUUUGGGAUAACUUCAGGAAACUGGGGCUAAUACCGGAUAGGAGCUCCUGCUGCAUGGUGGGGGUUGGAAAGUUUCGGCGGUUGGGGAUGGACUCGCGGCUUAUCAGCUUGUUGGUGGGGUAGUGGCUUACCAAGGCUUUGACGGGUAGCCGGCCUGUGAGGGUGACCGGCCACAUUGGGACUGAGAUAAGGCCCAGACUCCUACGGGAGGCAGCAGUGGGGAAUAUUGCACAAUGGGCGGAAGCCUGAUGCAGCAACGCCGCGUGCGGGAUGACGGCCUUCGGGUUGUAAACCGCUUUCGCCUGUGACGAAGCGUGAGUGACGGUAAUGGGUAAAGAAGCACCGGCUAACUACGUG
rnacentral:rRNA from 1 species